rnacentral:rRNA from 1 species
ACUCCUACGGGAGGCAGCAGUAGGGAAUCUUCCACAAUGGGCGCAAGCCUGAUGGAGCAACACCGCGUGAGUGAAGAAGGGUUUCGGCUCGUAAAGCUCUGUUGUUAAAGAAGAACACGUAUGAGAGUAACUGUUCAUACGUUGACGGUAUUUAACCAGAAAGUCACGGCUAACUACGUGCCAGCAGCCGCGGUAAUACGUAGGUGGCAAGCGUUAUCCGGAUUUAUUGGGCGUAAAGAGAGUGCAGGCGGUUUUCUAAGUCUGAUGUGAAAGCCUUCGGCUUAACCGGAGAAGUGCAUCGGAAACUGGAUAACUUGAGUGCAGAAGAGGGUAGUGGAACUCCAUGUGUAGCGGUGGAAUGCGUAGAUAUAUGGAGGAACACCAGUGGCGAAGGCGGCUACCUGGUCUGCAACUGACGCUGAGACUCGAAAGCAUGGGUAGCGAACAGGAUUAGAUACCCCUGGUAGGAUAGCG